CGUACACUCCUACGGGAGGCAGCAGUGGGGAAUAUUGGACAAUGGGCGCAAGCCUGAUCCAGCCAUGCCGCGUGAGUGAUGAAGGCCCUAGGGUUGUAAAGCUCUUUCACCGGUGAAGAUAAUGACGGUAACCGGAGAAGAAGCCCCGGCUAACUUCGUGCCAGUAGCCGCGGUAAUACGAAGGGGGCUAGCGUUGUUCGGAUUUACUGGGCGUAAAGCGCACGUAGGCGGACUAUUAAGUCAGGGGUGAAAUCCCGGGGCUCAACCCCGGAACUGCCUUUGAUACUGGUAGUCUUGAGUUCGAGAGAGGUGAGUGGAAUUCCGAGUGUAGAGGUGAAAUUCGUAGAUAUUCGGAGGAACACCAGUGGCGAAGGCGGCUCACUGGCUCGAUACUGACGCUGAGGUGCGAAAGCGUGGGGAGCAAACAGGAUUAGAUACCCUUGUAGUCCCA
rnacentral:rRNA from 1 species